CUCAGUUCGGAUUGCAGGCUGCAACUCGCCUGCAUGAAGCUGGAAUUGCUAGUAAUCGCGGAUCAGCAAGCCGCGGUGAAUACGUUCCCGGGCCUUGUACACACCGCCCGUCACACCAUGAGAGUCGGGAACACCCGAAGUCCGUAGUCUAACCGCAAGGGGGGCGCGGCCGAAGGUGGGUCCGGUAAUUGGGGUGAAGUCGUAACAAGGUAGC
rnacentral:rRNA from 1 species